rnacentral:rRNA from 1 species
AGAAUCAACGCUGGCGGCGUGCCUAACACAUGCAAGUCGAACGAGAAAGUGGAGCAAUCCAUGAGUAAAGUGGCGCACGGGUGAGUAACACGUGACUAACCUACCCUUGAGUGGGGGAUAACCUAGGGAAACCUGGGCUAAUACCGCAUAAUACCUUCGGGUCAAAGGAGCAAUUCGCUUUAGGAGGGGGUCGCGGCCGAUUAGUUAGUUGGCGGGGUAAUGGCCCACCAAGACGAUGAUCGGUAU